CCCUAGCCCCGAUAGCAGCGGAAAUCCUUUUUAUUUUUUCUUUAAAAAUAAAAAGAUUGUAGCGGAUAGCGGGAUUAGCU
rnacentral:sRNA from 1 species